rnacentral:rRNA from 1 species
CUUGGUAGGGUGCAAUGUGGUGUUUAGGAUACGUCAUUCGUGCCUUGAGCUCUGGUGUCCAAGUCCCCCUGACUGGGGCCAUCGCCCAUUGAGGGUGCAAGGCCUGUUGGGCAGGGCUGUGUCUCCUGAUUUCGGCGCGUAAGGCGUUUUCCUUGGAGUCGGGUUGCUUGAGAGUGCAGCCCAAAGUGGGUGGUAAACUCCACCUAAGGCUAAAUACUUGCCACGAGACCGAUAGCAAACAAGUACCGUGAGGGAAAGUUGCAAAGAACUUUGAAGAGAGAGUUCAAGAGUGCGUGAAACCGUCUGGAGGUAAACGGGUGGGAGCGCGAAGGUCGAACGGAUGGGGAGGGAUUCAACUUGGCGAAGCAGCUUACCGGGUGCUGUCGUGUUUGGGUGUUCUUCAAACUCUCCCUCUCGGGGGAUGAGAAUGAGUCAUCCCGCGUGGCUGCCUGUUGUAAAGUUUGUUCUGUCUUGUGCAUUUCCCUGUUCCCCCUCUCCUAGUAGGACGCUGCGACCAGCUGUUGAUGGGAGCACAGGAGUCACGGUUAGGGGAGCUGCGCGGACGAGUGUGGGAUUAGUUCUCUGCGUCUGGUCUGUCUGCCUCUUUCCAAACGGCUGUUGUUGUUCUCUCCGGCUGAGGAACUUGGUGGCGAGCUGGGCUCUUGUAGUCCCUCGUCUACUAACGUGCCUUCGAUUUUGGCGGUGCGGGUCGAAAAAACCCCACGGGUGGCAGCGGGUGGCUUUGUGCCGGUCUUUAUGAUCGCGCGUGAGGACUCCGUGCGUCAGCCGCCGUCGGUCAAGGUGCAGACUCCCGCAAGGGGCACUGGGGGUCAGCAGCGAGUAGGUCGGUUUCCCACCCGACCCGUCUUGAAACACGGACCAAGAAGUCUAACGUGUGGGCGAGUCUUCGGGGCCUAACGAACCCUUAGAAGGCGCAAUUAAAGUGAAGGCUCCAAUCUUGCCUUUAACCGGGUUUGAGGUUGGAGCUGGGGUGUGAUCCCUUGUUCCUUAGCAGGGGCGCAACACC